rnacentral:misc_RNA from 1 species
GUGUGUGUGUGUGUGUGUGUAUAAUUCAUUUUUAUGUAAGUAUUACGAUUGGUACCCCCUAAACAAUACGAUCUGAAGUAGAUGGGAAUCUCAAAUUUCUUUAAUCUAUAGAACACAAGGUUAGUUUACUCUUUCUGUGGCAUUGUAGGCUAAUCUUGCUUAUUGUGUCCACUUUAUUAUUGUUAUUAUUAAGCUAAUGUAAGUCUCUAUUAAAUUUGUGUCAUUGUGUGCUUGUUAGGCCCUUUUACCUCACUUUAAAAAGAAUCUUGCGGUGUUCAUUUUGAAUACCAUAUUGGUGGAUAUAUCCCCUUUUUUACACAUCAAUAAUUGUGAUAUCUCUUCCCUUGCUUCCCAUGUAUAAUUAGCUCUCUAAGUGAAUCCUCAAUGAUGCUUACAUGGAGUUUUUGAAGUCUGCAAGGGUCUCUGAACUGUUUCUUUAGGCACUUGGAGUUUACCAACUCCAACAUCUGGACCAUAUAGUUAUAUUGAAGAGGUUUAAGACGAAAAUUGUUGCAUGCAAUAAUGAAAGUACUAAAGAGUUUUGGAUUUCAUCUGAACACUUGGUUUUACUUGCUUGUUGCCCUGUUUAUGGCUGACAUUGUUAAAUUUUAUAUUGUAGGUAUGGAAGCUUAGAUAUCAAUAUUUUUCACUUUCACUUUUGAUGCUUAUCUAUAGAAUUUCUUCUGGAUUUAAUCUCACUAGGUUCUAUCCCUUAUUUGCUGUCAACGUGGUGCAGGAGCAACAAACAGCAAUAGCAUGGGUUAAUUUCAGGUCUUUUAUCUUGGAUUCAUAUAACUUGAAAAUUCAUACUAGAAUAUGGUGCUCUCUUCUUGGUGUUUGGGUAUGGUUCUCAAACAACCCUUAGUGCUUCUCUCUGGUGAGGGAUUCUGGUUAACGAAUUAAGAGUUCCCACAUUCAGUAUUUUA